GACGAACGCUGGCGGCGUGCUUAACACAUGCAAGUCGAACGCUGAAGCACCCAGCUUGCUGGGUGUGGAUGAGUGGCGAACGGGUGAGUAACACGUGAGUAACCUGCCCCUGACUCUGGGAUAAGCGCUGGAAACGGCGUCUAAUACUGGAUACGACCCAUAGAGGCAUCUCUUGUGGGUGGAAAGAUUUAUCGGUUGGGGAUGGACUCGCGUUCUAUCAGCUUGUUGGUGGGGUAAUGGCUCACCAAGGCGACGACGGAUACCUGGUCUGAGAGGACGAUCAGGCACACUGGAACUGAGACACGGUCCAGACACCUACGGGUGGCAGCAGUCGAGAAUAAUUCACAAUGGGGGCAACCCUGAUGGUGCAACGCCGCGUGGAGGAUGACGGUCUUCGGAUUGUAAACUCCUGUCAUCUGGGAGUAAGGCAUGGGUGUUAAUAGCACACAUGAUUGAUAGUACCAGAAGAGGAAGGGACGGCUAACUUCGUGCCAGCAGCCGCGGUAAUACGAAGGUCCCGAGCGUUGUUCGGAAUCACUGGGCGUAAAGGGAGCGUAGGCGGCGUGGUAAGUCAGAUGUGAAAUCCCGGGGCUCAACCCCCGGAACUGCAUCCGAUACUGCCGUGCUAGAGAGCUGGAGAGGCAACUGGAAUUCUCGGUGUAGCAGUGAAAUGCGUGGAUAUCGAGAGGAAGACCAAUGGCGAAAGCAAGUUGCUGGACAGUAUCUGACGCUGAGGCUCGAAGGCCUAGGGGAGCGAAAGGGAUUAGAUACCCCUGUAGUCCUAGCAGUAAACGGUGUGCGCUUGGUGUGAGGGGAAUCGACCCCCCUUGUGCCGGAGCUAACGCGUUAAGCGCACCGCCUGGGAAGUACGGUCGCAAGACUAAAACUCAAAGAAAUUGACGGGGACCCGCACAAGCGGUGGAGUAUGUGGCUUAAUUCGAUGCAACGCGAAGAACCUUACCUAGGCUUGACAUGCAUCUCUAAGCGCGUGAAAGCGCGUGACCCUUCGGGGGAUUUGCACAGGUGCUGCAUGGCCGUCGUCAGCUCGUGUCGUGAGAUGUUGGGUUAAGUCCCGCAACGAGCGCAACCCUUGUGUUUAGUUGCCAGCACGUAAAGGUGGGAACUCUAGACAGACUGCCCAGAUCAACUGGGAGGAAGGUGGGGACGACGUCAGGUCAGUAUGGCCCUUACGCCUAGGGCUGCACACGUACUACAAUGCCCAGUACAAUGAGAGCCGAGACCGCGAGGUGGAGGAAAUCUGUAAAACUGGGCUCAGUUCGGAUUGGAGGCUGCAACUCGCCUCCAUGAAGUCGGAAUCGCUAGUAAUGGCGCAUCAGCUACGGUGCCGUGAAUACGUUCCCGGGUCUUGUACACACCG
rnacentral:rRNA from 1 species